rnacentral:lncRNA from 1 species
UUAAAGCAGGCUUCUCAAAAAUAUACUUGAUUGGAUCCAUUUUGGAUAUCAACCAAGUGGUGUGAUUCAACAUAUAUUGACACAGACGCUUAGCAGCCCAAGCCAAUGCGCAACAAGUCUUCUCAAGAGUAGAAUACCGAGUCUCACAUUCAGUGAACUUCUUACUGAGGUAGUAAAUAACAUAUUCUUUCUUCCCAGUGUCAUCUUGCUGACCUAGAACACAAC